ensembl:lncRNA
AUGCACCCUCGGGCAGCUUGCAGGGGGAUGUUAAGGCAGCUGAGCAGCUUUUUUGAGGUGGGGGAGGGUAACACUCUUAGCAGUAACUCGGGUUCCCCUUCCCCCCCCUGGAAACCGCGGGGGUGGUGGCCCGGGUUCCUGUCCCCUCUUGGCUGGGGGGUGGGGAGGCAGGGUUUGGGAAGAGGACUGCGUGGGGGUAGGCCCGUGUUUCCUUCAUCCUCCUGGAGGCCACGGGGAAAGGGAGAGGCCCGAGUUCCCCUCACCCACGCUAGGCGUGGGGGCGAGGGGAGAGCGCGGGUUGAAGGGCUGCGUAGGGUCGCAGGUCCCCCCACCGUGGGGGUAGGGGCUGCAUUGGGACGCGGAGCCUCCCCAGAGGCCGUGGGGGGGGUGCGGACUCUAGCCCCCCUUCGCCGUGGGGGAGGGGCGGGCCUGGAGUCCCCUCCCCCGGCCGUGGGGGAGGGGCAGGUUUGGGGCGCGACCCCCCCCCCACAGGGCGCAGGGGCGGGGCCGAAUGGACUCGGGUUCCCCUCCCCCUCGCCGUGGCGGUGGGGACGGGUUGGGGGGGUUGGGGCGCGCUCCUCCCCCCCCCGGCUGUGGGGGAGGGGCUGGCCCGGGCGGCGGCGGCCCCCCUGGAAGUCCUCCCGGCCCGGGCCGGCGCGCUGGCGGCCGCUCGCCCUCCACCCGCACCAACCCGGAGGUCACUGCCCGUGCCGGUCCCUCCCGCCGUCCCGCCCUCUCCCGCCGCCGCCGCCACUACCACCGCCGCCGCCGCUCCCGCCCCAGCCCCCCCCCCCCACUCUCCGCUCUCGGGAGCGAGGAGCCGCCAGCGCCCCCGCCCCGCCGCCGCCGCAGCGCCCUCGGCCGCCAUUCGGCACCCGAAACUUUCCAGCGCCCGCGCCUCUCCGGGACUCGCGGCGGCGGGGCGGGGGCGGCCCGGGGGCGGCGCGCGGCUGCUCCAGGGCGCCGGGCCCUCGUCGGCCGCGGCACGGCCCGGUCUCGGCGACGGCCGGCGACAGGGAGGUUCGGCGCGCCGCGGCGCCGCCACAAGUUGCGCUGCUGGCGGCGAGCGUGAGUUUUCACGUUUGGACCACGAAAGCUCUUCAUAUCACAUACACGCAUCGACAAAUGAGCAUCUACGUUGAGAUCUGUGUGUCGAUACAGAUGGAGGUCCACGGAAUCCAGAGACUCUGAGCACAGUGGAGGAAUUGCUAUUAUAGCUUCAUUGUCUGAUGUGGUAACCAGUGGCCACAUGUGAACAUGGAGAUUCAAAUUAAAAAUUAACAGUUCUGUUCUCUCAGGCCCUGGAGCCAUAAUUCACGUACUCAGUAGGUGCCUGUGGCUAGCGGCCACCAUAUGAGCAAAGGCACACACAGAAAGUUCUGUUACAGGGUGCUACUCUAUCGUUACCGCAGUGAAACACUAAUGAAAUAAAGUUAGUGUACUUUUUGGGGCGAGGGGAGGGAGAAGCUAUAAAAGUUCGAAAUAAUUCACAGGUAAACUUAGGAAAAAAAAAAAAAAAGACCCAUUUCCGCCAGUGAUUGACCCAGGAAAGUGAUUUCAG